rnacentral:tRNA from 1 species
AGAAGCUUAGGUUAACUCAGACCAAGAGCCUUCAAAGCUCUAAGUAAAUAAUGACUAUUUAGCUUCUG